rnacentral:rRNA from 1 species
GAUGAACGCUGACAGAAUGCUUAACACAUGCAAGUCUACUUGAACUUCGGUUUGGGUGGCGGACGGGUGAGUAACGCGUACAGAACUUGCCUCACAGGUAGGGACAACAUUUGGAAACGAAUGCUAAUACCUGAUAUUAUGAUUUUAGGGCAUCCUAGAAUUAUGAAAGCUAUAUGCACUGUGAGAGAGCUUUGCGUCCCAUUAGCUAGUUGGAGAGGUAACGGCUCACCAAGGCGAUGAUGGGUAGCCGGCCUGAGAGGGUGAUCGGCCACAAGGGGACUGAGACACGGCCCUUACUCCUACGGGAGGCAGCAGUGGGGAAUAUUGGACAAUGGACCAAGAGUCUGAUCCAGCAAUUCUGUGUGCACGAUGAAGUUUUUCGGAAUGUAAAGUGCUUUCAGUUGGGAAGAAAAAAAUGACGGUACCAACAGAAGAAGUGACGGCUAAAUACGUG